ensembl:lincRNA linc-71 ncRNA
AAAAUAAGCCUAAAAAUUGCCUGAAAGCUGAAAAUCACCGAAAAAAUUUUUCGGAAUUUUUCCACUUUUAUCUGCUAUUUUUCAACAGUUGUUCAGUAGUUUUUAUUUAAAAAAUGGGCAAAUUUUCUGAUUUUUUACUGAAAAAUAUGAAAAAUUUGACGAG